GUCAGAAGCCACACCACCUGCAGUUCAGACCAGGUAAUUCACCUGAAGCUAAGCAGGUUUUGCCUUGGCCAGUACUUGGAUGGGAGUCCAACUAGGAAUGUUGGGUUGCUGCUAUAA
rnacentral:rRNA from 1 species